CCCUUAGAUGUUCUGGGCCGCACGCGCGCUACACUGACUACUUCAACGAGUUGUUUCCUUGAUCGAAAGGUCUGGGUAAUCUUUGAAAGGUAGUCGUGAUGGGGAUAGGUCCUUGCAAUUUUUGAUCUUCAACGAGGAAUUCCUAGUAAACGCAAGUCAUCAGCUUGCAUUGAUUACGUCCCUGCCCUUUGUACACACCGCCCGUCGCACCUACCGAUUGAAUGGUCCGGUGAAUCUUUAGGACUGUGGCUGAGGCCUUGCCUUGUGCGGGUCUGGCCGUGGGAAUUUAGUUAAACCUUACCAUUUAGAGGAAGGUGAAGUCGUAACA
rnacentral:rRNA from 1 species